GCAGAUUCUGAUAGUCAUGUCCACUGCCACCAGUGGCAAUGGGAUGGUGUUUAUAAGCUGGCCACAGUUUGCAGCAAGAUGGGCAGAGCUGAGUUAGCACUAUUUACUACUUCUCAUAAAUUCCAAGAAAAACAUGCACACCUGCUGGGAUAACGUCUAAAAUGGAGAUUUUAAGUUUGUUUCCACACUCCUUCAUCUGUUGUAUGUCAUUUCCGAGCUACAAUGAGGAGAAAGGAGGAACAGAAGUAGCCAGAUGAAGUGAGGUAUUUUUUUAAUUUAAAUGCGAAGGUAUUGCCUGGAGGUAUUUGCAGCUACAACCCGAGGUUUUGGAAUAGAAGUUUAAUUGAUGUGAUGUCAUAAAAUAAAUAGAAUAAAUUCGUGAAUUGAUGGUCUCUCAGUCUGGCUCUCAGUGGGUGGCAGGUAUCUACAUUAAAAAGACCAUCAAGACUGGCACCUCUCUUGUCAGUGUCAGCUCGGAACCUAAGCAUUAAUUUGGCAUGGGGAUUACACUGCCCUUCAAGGUGGUCUCUGCAGUUACAGCUAGGCCUUGAAGGGGACAGGACUUCAUCUGGAAGGACUAUUGCCAGAACAUAACCUGGAAAUAGGUUGAGAAAGUCAACAGGACAGCAGCAAAAAUGAUUGGAGGUUUAGAAAAAAGGGAAUGCCACCGAUGCACCUGCAGAAGGAGCAGAGGGACGUUUUUCUGAUGUGAGUUUGUGGCCCCAUGGCAGCACCUCUUCCAGAGAAGAAGCCUUUGGGUACCUGGUAAGAUUGCAGUAUGCUAAGCACUAGUGAUCUACCUGAUGACUAAAGCUGAUUUGGAAUCAGUCAUAAGAGGGUUGGUCACCCCUCUGAAAAAUGGUACAAACAGGCUGAUUCACAGGUCAGAUCAGAGUCAGGUGUUUGGCAAAGCUAAUCACACUGUGGAAAA